GUGUAUGAAUCCAAAUUACACUGAGUUCAAAUUCCCACAAAUCAAAGCUCACCCUUGGCAUAAAAUUUUUCAUAAGCGGAUGCCUCCUGAAGCUGUGGAUCUUGUGUCAAGGCUUCUCCAGUAUUCUCCAAAUUUGCGGUCUACUGCAUUGGAGGCUUGCACCCACUCUUUCUUCGAUGAGCUUCGUGAUCCUAAGACUCGUCUCCCUAAUGGUCGGCCAUUGCCACCUCUCUUCAACUUCAGGCCUCAAGAGUUGAAAGGAGCAUCUGCAGAGCUCUUGAACAAACUGAUACCAGAACAUGCUAAGAAGCAGUGUACCUCCCUUGGUUUCUAAACCUUGUGAAUGUUUAUGUAUCUUUAGUAUAUACUUAUUUGCAAACCAAUUUGUUUGUUAUCUAUUUUGGCACAAACUGUUUGACAUCUCUUCCUUCCCAUGACAACUGUUAACUGACAAAUACAUUGUGAAAGUUGUUCCUUGUGCAAAU
rnacentral:misc_RNA from 1 species